GUAGAAAUGCUCGGCUCGAUUAAUUGUUUCAAACCUACAGUUUCCAGAGCAAGGAACAAAAGUUGACACUUUGGCAGCAUGUUCAUCAUCAAUAAUUAGCUCGUCUCUCGAUCGCAACCUGCGCAUCCCUAACAGCAGCUAUGCUCUCACUGCCAAGAACUGUGUCCUUUGCAGCUGCAGCUUCACCACAUGGCAAUUGGAGUGUCACCCAAGGAAUAAGCAACAACUCAUGCCCUGCAGCUAAAUGUGGGAGCCUCUUCAUAGGCAACAACUCUGUUUCAGCUUGGUUGUUAACUAGUUAAACAUGAGCUGUUCACGAGCGACGUGCUUUUCGAUAGCCCUAAAAAGUAAUGAACUUGAUUUGUUAUUUGUCAUUCAAGGAACCAAUGGCUUGGGACCAGGGUCGCGAUUGCCAGAGAAAAAUGGUUGUUCAUCGAGGCUUCGAGUUGGAUGGAUGAUUCAGACACCAGUGAUGAUUCUUCUUAUAUUUUUGGUAAUUUUUUGUUUGCUUUGCAAUGAGAAUAGUUAA